UCACCGAGCCUGCGACCGGUUCAAGCUGGGUAACUAGAAUUUAACAGAGACUAACAUCAAUAGCUGGAGGUAUUUUGCACAGAUUCAGAGGCUUUCUUUCCAGUGGAGGAUAUCACAGCUACUGGAAGCCUUGGUGCAAUUCUGAAAUGAAAUGGCGACGGCAGCUGAAGUCACAUUGAAGACAUUCUCACUCAUAUGUAUGGAGGUUGAUGCUGACUGUCAGCAGAAUGGUGGUGGUGUCAGCCAAAACAUGUACAGGAGGCCCAUCUACAUGAUACCAGAUGCUGCUUAUUUCCUAUAAGUUCUCCUUCCCACAUAUCCUGGCUGUCACAUUUGGCGACCGUGGCCAUUGCUGCUA